rnacentral:rRNA from 1 species
GACGCUGGCGGCGUGCCUAAUACAUGCAAGUCGAGCGGAGUUAUGAGGGAGCUUGCUCCUGAUUAACUUAGCGGCGGACGGGUGAGUAACACGUAGGCAACCUGCCCUCAAGAUCGGGAUAACAUUCGGAAACGAAUGCUAAGACCGGAUACACGGUUUGGUCGCAUGAUCGGAUCGGGAAACACGGAGUAAUCUGUGGCUUGGGGAUGGGCCUGCGGCGCAUUAGCUAGUUGGUGGGGUAACGGCUCACCAAGGCGACGAUGCGUAGCCGACCUGAGAGGGUGAACGGCCACACUGGGACUGAGACACGGCCCAGACUCCUACGGGAGGCAGCAGUAGGGAAUCUUCCACAAUGGGCGAAAGCCUGAUGGAGCAACGCCGCGUGAGUGAGGAAGGCUUUCGGGUCGUAAAGCUCUGUUGCCAGGGAAGAAUAAGGGUGAGGUAACUACUCAUCUGAUGACGGUACCUGAGAAGAAAGCCCCGGCUAACUACGUG